rnacentral:rRNA from 1 species
CAAGCUCCCUUUUGCUUCAUAACGAAAGAUACAGAGCAUCCCGAAUGGGUGCGAACUCUAUUAGUCAAAUUCUAGACGAGCGAAGCGAGCAUAAAGACUACUGAGCGAAGCGAAGGCAUAGUUUCUUUUUUAUUAAAUUUUCAAUUCAUAUUUGAAAAAAAACAGCCCCUCAACCGAGCGAAAGCGAGGUUAAAACGUCCGAGCUUUAGCGAGGGCAUAGGGCUGUUUUCAUGCCUGCUUAGGCUUUUAUAUAUAUUUUAAAGCUUUUAAAUGCUUUUACGCGAGCUGUAAGUCGCUCUAUGCCUAUGUUUCAGCUUGUAUAAGCACACAAAUUCUCUUGUAUAAGCACACAAAUUCUCUUGUAUAAGCA